UUUUCUGGGUUGAACUCUAAAUGACUCAAUUAAAUACAAACUUGUUUGAAAAAUACUUUGGACAUUCUAAUCACAUACUUGGAUACUUAAAUGCUUAUUUAUAUCAAUAUCAACACGUUAAUCACACGAAUUGCUCUAAAAAAGACAGAUAUAAGCUAGAACAAUGAUAAAAAAAGUGUAUAAAAUCACCUCAGAUUAUUACUUGUUCUCCAACAACAAAAAUUAUUCUUAGUUUCUCAUUGUUGAGUCUUGUAUUUUAUUCUAAAUUGUAAACCUACUCUUGAUUCGUAAAGAUUUUGUAGGUUUCAUUUGUAGUAAAAUCUUUUUGUGUAAAGAGUUGAUCAACUAGAGGUUGAGCAAUUGGGCUAGAGUUAGCCAAAGUGGAUUAACUAUAGUUAGUUGAUAGAGUGAGCUAGGAUUAGCUCGGUGGUGCUUAGCUAGAGUUUUUUGAUGAUUUAAGAUAUUGUAGGAGUACUAUAGAGGUGACUCAAUGUUGUAAUUAGUUUAAGGGAAUGAGGUUAAGAGAUUAACCAUAGGACUAUGAGAAAGAGUUUGUAAUAAAACCAUUGCUCUUGUUCUAGUGAAGUUGUUGGUGAAAUUUCACGAGGAAGAUCGUAGUUAUACUCUCUUGAGUAAAGAGGUUCUCAGAACAUGAGGUGACAUAUAAUAUGAUAUGCUAGAUUGAGAGAGCUUGUCAAUUUGGAGUUUGAGUCCACAGAGUAGCCAAAAUCAUGACAAGCAAAAGGAGCAACAUUCCCUACUUGAUGGGCAUAUUGACCUGCUUCUUUCUUCUUAGAUUUAGGUCAGUCUGAGGGAUAUCCAAUCAGUUUAAAACACUACUCUCUUGUGUGACCAUUAUAACCACAGAACUCAGACAUUACUGAUGUUCCUUUCUGUAGUGCAGUUCUGUAGUUAGAUGUAAAUGAUCUCCCCUUAUAACCUAGAACUCAGACAUUACUGAUGUUCCUUUUUGUAGUGCAGUUCUAUAGUUAGAUGUAGAUGAUCUCUCCUUAUAACCUUCUACAUGCUUAUUUGAAUUACAACUACUUGAGCUAUCGGUCCUAAAUACACUUCUUUACCCUUGUUUCCUGGUUUGUAGUAAAUGAUACUGCUACAUCUAAACUAUCAGCUACUUGGCUAAUGUAAGCAACACUAGCUAUGGACCUCUGACUUCCAUGGUCUACAAUCAUGGAGUACACCUUGUUAAUGGAAGGAAUAGGUGUUAUUAACAAAAUUUGACUUUGAUGCAUGGAAUAUGUCUUAUUAAGACCCAUAAGGAAUUGUAAAACUCUAUGAUAAUCAAAGUGUUAUGCAUAACUUCUAGAUUCAAAACAAUUACAUCUUAAAAGAGCGCAUAAGGGAAUCAAAUUCAUCCCAUAAGGUUCUAAUACAAGAGAAACAGUUAGAAACAGACAAAGUACCUUGAGUAAGAGUGACAAUUUCUCUAUGUAGGAAAAACAUUCUAGACCCAUUUAGUUUAUCAACCCUUUCCUUCAAAUCUAUCCACACACUGUGAGCAUUGAAAGCAUAGAUUAGAGUACUCAACGCAUCCUUCCUUACUGAAUUCAUAAUUCACGAUAAAACCACAAUAUUGAC